GAGAGAUGGACUGAAUGCAUUUUGCCUUAUGAGAUGAGCAUGAGCCUUUGGCAGCCAGAGGGAAAUAGAGGAGCUGUGAGAGAGAUGGCUGAUACCUCCGUCUAUAUCCAUGAGAACAUCACGUGGCUCAACCAUCUCGCUGAUCUAACAGGACCAACCUGCGAGGCUUUUUUCUACCUCUGCCAUUUAAAAGCCUCCUCUCCGAUUCCCCGUAUCAGUAAAGAUGGAUAUCAGCAACAACAACUGAGUAGUAAAAAUAAUCUCAACGGAAACUGGAUGUAAGACAGUGGUGAGAGUGUGAAGAUGACAGGAGCGGGUACUCCAGAAACUGCAUCCUGAGAAGCCUUCUGCCAUUCGGGGGUAACUGGAUUCCUCAGAAAGGAAGCUAACUGAAAG
rnacentral:lncRNA from 1 species